rnacentral:tRNA from 1 species
ACAAAGUUGGCAGAAUAGAUGUGAAUAAUUUAGGAUUAUUUUAUAAGAUAGAAAUCUUACUUUGUA